UACAAACGAUACAAAAACAUCGUUGGAGUCAGUGGAAAAUGUAUCGAAUAUUUUUGUUUAUUCUAGCCACUCUAGUGGCCCAAAUCGAGGGGCCACAAUCGGAUCGAUCCGCUUACGUGGACAAAAUGGAAUGCGGUGACUGCAAGCAGGUGAAUCUGGAAUGCCAAAUUGUAUCCUCGGGAUACUACUGUCGCGAGUCAGAGGACACUGAUGAUUGAUGAACGGAAAGAGGCGGCAGCAGAAAAUCGCAAACAUUUGCACAGUUUCAUGGCCUCCGGGCAUUUCUUUCUUAAAGGUGAGGAAAUCUCAUCGGCUUGCUGUUUUUGGACGCCUCAAAUUGGCUGCCAGCAGGUGAAAAAUAAACAGCGGACAAAGCCCUGCUCCGAUUGUGCCACAUACCACGAAAGGGGCUCGUUCCUGGAUCAAAAUCCGAUGGGCUGUCCAUGUGGACCAC